rnacentral:rRNA from 1 species
UACGUAGGGGGCAAGCGUUGUCCGGAAUCAUUGGGCGUAAAGCGAGCGUAGGCGGCCCGAUAAGUCUGCUGUGAAAGUCAACGGCUCAACCGUUGAAAGCCGGUGGAUACUGUCGGGCUAGAGUUCGGAAGAGGCAAGUGGAAUUCCUGGUGUAGCGGUGGAAUGCGCAGAUAUCAGGAGGAACACCCAUAGCGAAGGCAGCUUGCUGGGACGAUACUGACGCUAAGGCUCGAAAGCGUGGGGAGCGAACAGGAUUAGAAACCCCGUAGUCC